rnacentral:rRNA from 1 species
AGUGAACGCUGGCGGUAGGCCUAACACAUGCAAGUCGAACGGCAGCACAGUAAGAGCUUGCUCUUACGGGUGGCGAGUGGCGGACGGGUGAGGAAUACAUCGGAAUCUACUUUUUCGUGGGGGAUAACGUAGGGAAACUUACGCUAAUACCGCAUACGACCUACGGGUGAAAGCAGGGGAUCUUCGGACCUUGCGCGAUUGAAUGAGCCGAUGUCGGAUUAGCUAGUUGGCGGGGUAAAGGCCCACCAAGGCGACGAUCCGUAGCUGGUCUGAGAGGAUGAUCAGCCACAUUGGAACUGAGACACGGUCCAGACUCCUACGGGAGGCAGCAGUGGGGAAUAUUGGACAAUGGGCGCAAGCCUGAUCCAGCCAUACCGCGUGGGUGAAGAAGGCCUUCGGGUUGUAAAGCCCUUUUGUUGGGAAAGAAAAGCAGCGGGUUAAUACCCCGCUGUUCUGACGGUACCCAAAGAAUAAGCACCGGCUAACUUCGUG